AAAUUGAAGAGUUUGAUCAUGGCUCAGAUUGAACGCUGGCGGCAGGCCUAACACAUGCAAGUCGAGCGGUAGCACAGAGAGCUUGCUCUCGGGUGACGAGCGGCGGACGGGUGAGUAAUGUCUGGGAAACUGCCUGAUGGAGGGGGAUAACUACUGGAAACGGUAGCUAAUACCGCAUAACGUCGCAAGACCAAAGAGGGGGACCUUCGGGCCUCUUGCCAUCAGAUGUGCCCAGAUGGGAUUAGCUAGUAGGUGGGGUAACGGCUCACCUAGGCGACGAUCCCUAGCUGGUCUGAGAGGAUGACCAGCCACACUGGAACUGAGACACGGUCCAGACUCCUACGGGAGGCAGCAGUGGGGAAUAUUGCACAAUGGGCGCAAGCCUGAUGCAGCCAUGCCGCGUGUAUGAAGAAGGCCUUCGGGUUGUAAAGUACUUUCAGCGGGGAGGAAGGUGUUGUGGUUAAUAACCACAGCAAUUGACGUUACCCGCAGAAGAAGCACCGGCUAACUCCGUGCCAGCAGCCGCGGUAAUACGGAGGGUGCAAGCGUUAAUCGGAAUUACUGGGCGUAAAGCGCACGCAGGCGGUCUGUCAAGUC
rnacentral:rRNA from 1 species